UACGGAGGGUGCGAGCGUUGUUCGGAUUUACUGGGCGUACAGGGAGCGUAGGCGGUUGGAUAAGCCCUCCGUGAAAUCUCCAGGCUUAACCUGGGAAUUGCAGUCGAUACUACUCAGCUAGAGUAUGGGAGAGGGUAGUGGAAUUCCCGGUGUAGCGGUGAAAUGCGUAGAUAUCGGGAGGAACAUCAGUGGCGAAGGCGGCUACCUGGCCCAAUACUGACACUCAGGUGCGACAGCGUGGGGAGCAAACAGG
rnacentral:rRNA from 1 species